GAAAUUUUGGAGGACAUUAUGGAAAACGAUACGACUUUUGAAAUAACUGGCUACGUCAGUUCAAUAUUUCAAAUUAAAUCAACCACAAGAAAUGGCAAAACAACGCAUCUUUUUAAUUUUAUUAUGAGCAACGGUGAAAUUACCAUUCAAAUUGCUGCCUGGAAUGAUUUAGCUUUUAAAUAUGCAGACAUAAUAACUCAAACAGAACAAGUUUAUUCUCUACAAAAAGUGGUACCUAAAAUCCCUUUGAGGAAAGAAUAUUUACAUAAUGCUUCAUUUCCAUACGAAUUAUUAAUCCGAAGUUCCACUAUUGUCGUUCCUAUUGGCAUUUAUAAAAUACCAAAAGAAAUUGAAACAAUUUCUUUGAUUAAAAUGCAAAAUGCCAGAACCAAAAGUGGUUUAA